rfam:Ictidomys tridecemlineatus contig042632, whole genome shotgun sequence.
GGGGAUAUAGCUCAGUUGGUAGAGUGCUUGCCUUGUAUACACAAGGCCCUUGGUUCAAUCCCCAGCACCACCA